rnacentral:rRNA from 1 species
GACAGAGGGUGCAAACGUUGUUCGGAAUUACUGGGCGUAAAGGGCUCGUAGGCGGCCAACUAAGUCGGACGUGAAAUCCCCAGGCUCAACCUGGGAACUGCGUCCGAUACUGGAUGGCUUGAAUCCGGGAGAGGGAUGCAGAAUUCCAGGUGUAGCGGUGAAAUGCGUAGAUAUCAGGAGGAACACCGGUGGCGAAGGCGGCUAUCUGGACAGAAACUGACGCUGAGGCGCGAAAGCUAGGGGAGCAAACAGG